UACGUAGGGUGCAAGCAUUAAUCGGAAUUACUGGGCGUAAAGCGUGCGCAGGCGGUUUUGUAAGUCUGUCGUGAAAUCCCCGGGCUCAACCUGGGAAUUGCGAUGGAGACUGCAAGGCUAGAAUCUGGCAGAGGGGGUAGAAUUCCACGUGUGAGCAGUGAAAUGCGUAGAGAUGUGGAGGAACACCGAUGGCGAAGGCAGCCCCUGGGUCAAGAUUGACGCUCAUG
rnacentral:rRNA from 1 species